GGGAAGGGGCGGCGGUGACGCGAUUCUGUCCGCGUUGGAGGGGCCGGGCCGCUGCCGGAGUCGCCGCGCCUGCCGCGUGACGUGGCACAGCCGAAGAUUUAACGCCAGAGCCGGAGCUGCCCCGCCAGUCGUCAAGCAGGUCAUCACCCCGCUAAUUCCUGUCCCGGAGGGGAGCUCCGUCCUACACACCGGCUGGCGAGCCGUCCCUGCGGCCCUCAGCUCCUCUUUCCUCCCUGAGUUUGCCGGGAGCGUGAAAGGCUCGGGGUCGCGCCAAACCCCUUCUGCUCCUGCCCAUCGCAAGUGCCACUACCGCCAUGGGCCUCACCAUCUCCUCCCUCUUCUCCCGUCUCUUCGGCAAGAAGCAGAUGCGCAUUUUGAUGGGGUCGGUUUUCCGCUCUGCUGAGGGAGAAGGGGCUUGUCACUUGAUGUAAGCAACGCCUCCCCCAUAGUACUUUGGGUUGGAUGCUGCUGGCAAGACGACCAUUCUGUAUAAACUGAAGUUAGGAGAGAUAGUCACCACCAUUCCUACCAUUGGUUUUAAUGUGGAAACAGUAGAAUAUAAGAACAUUUGUUUCACAGUAUGGGAUGUUGGUGGUCAAGAUAAAAUUAGGCCUCUCUGGAGGCAUUACUUCCAAAAUACCCAGGGUCUUAUUUUUGUGGUAGAUAGCAAUGAUCGUGAAAGAAUUCAGGAAGGAGCAGAAGAGCUGCAGAAAAUGCUUCAGGAAGAUGAGUUGCGAGAUGCUGUGUUGCUGCUUUUUGCAAACAAACAGGAUUUGCCGAAUGCUAUGGCCAUUAGUGAAAUGACAGAUAAAUUAGGUCUUCAGUCUCUUCGUAACAGAACAUGGUAUGUUCAAGCCACUUGUGCUACACAAGGAACCGGUCUGUAUGAGGGACUUGACUGGCUGUCAAAUGAGCUUUCAAAACGUUAAAUGAAACUGGAUAUCUAACCAAGGACAUGUUUGAUAGAAUUGGUCUAGGCUUGUUACAACAAAAUUAGUUUGCAUCUUGGUUAUUAAACAGUAUGUGGGACUGGUUUGGGCAGAAUAUUACAGCGUUUAAACUUAUUUUGUUGCCAAUUAUUGUUUACCAAGUAUAAUGUUGCCAUUUAGCAAUAUGCUUGGUUUUAAAGAGAUUCUCUUAACUUGGGGAAAAAAAAGUGUCCUCUUUUAAUUUUACUUCCCUUAAGCCUAAAUGCCUGGACAUAGCUAAUGUGACACCUUUAAAUAAAUCCAUUUUGAAUGUUUUUUUGAGCCCACAACAAAUAAUGUUUUAAAGUUAUCCCCUUGCUACUUUACUGAUACCUUUAUCAUUCCUGGGACAGUCUGCUGAUUUAAAAAAUGUAGCAUUCCAUUUGUAUUUAUUUUUCCCCUUUGCCAAAAAAGAUUUUUUAAUACUGCUUGUACCAGCCAGGGAAAUGCUCCAAAACACUAUUCAGAUCUUUUGCACUGAGGAACUUAUAUUUCCCUCCCAUUAUUAACUCCUGGCUUCCAUCAGCCAAGCUUACCUUGGUGUGGUUUGGAUUUGAUAGCUAAUUAGUUCUGUGCUAGUUGCAAAGAGUUCAUAUUGAGAUGAUUUUUAAUACUCAGCAGAUUGUCUUCCUUUAUAUUGUAUCUUUUUUAUGUUGCAUGUUGCUUUUGGUAUCAGCCUGACUCUUUUCCCAGUAUAUGAUAGUUCUCCUGAUGUUUUAUUGUUUGUUGGUGAACAUGUCUUCAUUAAGAGUUUUGGAAAACUCAUCAGACUCAAUGAAUAAGUUUUCUUCAUAACCCAUUUGGAAUUAUUCCUAAUAAAAUGAUAAAACAUGUAAUGGUGUUUGUUUUUCUUGUCUUGAAGAUGUUUGAAAUAGAUUUUUUAGUUGAUUUGCAUAUAUUACAUACUGUGAACAAUAAUACAGAUCCCAGUGAGUUUAUUUAUUGUUUGAAUUGGAAAUAAAAUAUGGGUUGCUAUCAUGUGUGUAACAGAGUGAGGAGCAAUUUCAAGAAUUUAGUUUUCUUUGAUAAAAUACCAUUUUGAUGCUGUACAUUUUCUAAAGUCAGAUCAAGAGUAAAAAGCUGUAAUAAAAUGAACUGCUCCCAAA